GGAAAAUUGUAAAGACCAACCAAACGUCGAGGUCCAAGCAAAAUUCGUUAUCUAUACUUCAUUGUCUUCGCCGGAGAAACAGGCGACUGGUGGUGUUGGUUUCGAUGCUUCCACUGGAGAAGAAGAGAGUGGGGCGACGCCGGGGUCUCUCCAGCUCUCGCUGCUGCUCGUUUCGACGAGCUGCUGGCCGGAGUUGUGGUUGUAGU
rnacentral:misc_RNA from 1 species